GGUCAAGCUACAAAGGGCGCAUGGUGAAUGCCUUGGCAUCAGGAGCCGAUGAAGGACGUGAUAAGCUGCGAUAAGCUUCGGGUAGGCGCACAUAGCCUGAGAUCCGAAGAUCUCCGAAUGAGGAAACUCACAUGGGAAACCCCAUGUAUCAUUAAGUGAAUACAUAGCUUAAUGAAGGUAACCCAGGGAACUGAAACAUCUAAGUACCUGGAGGAAGAGAAAGAAAAAUCGAUUUUCUUAGUAGCGGCGAGCGAAAGGGAAAGAGCCCAAACCGGAAACUUGUUUCCGGGGUUGUGGACAUAGCAUAAAAGUGGAGGCUAUUGUAACUGAAGAGAACUGGAAAGUUCCACCGUAGAAGGUAAUAGUCCUGUAAGUGAAACGAGAAGACCACGAGUUAUGAUCCAGAGUACCACGAGACACGUGAAACCUUGUGGGAAGCAGGGAGGACCACCUCCCAAGGCUAAAUACUACCUGAUGACCGAUAGUGAAGCAGUACCGUGAGGGAAAGGUGAAAAGAACCCCGGGAGGGGAGUGAAAUAGAACCUGAAACCGUGUGCCUACAACCGCUCAGAGCCCCUUAUGAGGGUGAUGAGGUGCUUUUUGUAGAACGAGCCAACGAGUUACGGUAUGUAGCAAGGUUAAGUACUUAAGGUACGGAGCCGAAGGGAAACCGAGUCUGAAUAGGGCGACUAGUUGCAUGCCGUAGACCCGAAACCGGGUGACCUAUCCAUGGCCAGGUUGAAGCGAGGGUAAAACCUCGUGGAGGACCGAACCACGUUGCUGUUGAAAAAGCAUGGGAUGAGCUGUGGAUAGCGGAGAAAUUCCAAUCGAACCCGGAGAUAGCUGGUUCUCUCCGAAAUAGCUUUAGGGCUAGCGUCGAGUAUGAGUAGUGGAGGUAGAGCACUGAAUGGGCUAGGGGGCAUAGCGCUUACCGAACCUUAUCAAACUCCGAAUGCCACAUACUUUGAGCUCGGCAGUCAGACUACGAAUGAUAAGAUCCGUGGUCAAAAGGGAAACAGCCCAGAUCGUCAGCUAAGGUCCCAAAGUGUAAGUUAAGUGGGAAAGGAUGUGAGAUUUCUAAGACAACUAGGAUGUUGGCUUAGAAGCAGCCAUUCAUUAAAAGAGUGCGUAAUAGCUCACUAGUCGAGAGAUCUUGCGCCGAAAAUGUAACGGGGCUAAACUUACCACCGAAGCUACGGGCUUGAACUUAGUUCAAGCGGUAGGAGAGCGUCGUAACCGGGCUGAAGUCGUACCGUAAGGAGCGGUGGACUGGUUACGAGUGAGAAUGUUGGCAUCAGUAGCGAGAUGUGGGUGAGAAUCCCACAGGCCGAAAACCUAAGGUUUCCUCAGGAAGGUUCGUCCGCUGAGGGUUAGUCGGGACCUAAGCCGAGGCCGAAAGGCGUAGGUGAUGGACAACUGGUUGAUAUUCCAGUACCACUACCAUCGUUAUUAUCGAUGGCGUGACGCAGGAGGAUAGUGUGUGCUAGCUAUUGGAUGCUAGUCUAAGCGUUUAGGCAGUGAGAGUAGGCAAAUCCGCUCUCAUAAUGCUGAGGCGUGAUGGGGAAGGUUCCACGGAACCGAAGUACAUGAUUCCACGCUGCCAAGAAAAGCGUCUAGAGAGAGAAGUAGUGCCCGUACCGCAAACCGACACAGGUAGGUGAGGAGAGAAUCCUAAGGCCGGCGGAAGAAUUACAGUUAAGGAACUCGGCAAAUUGACCCCGUAAGUUCGCGAGAAGGGGUGCCUACGAGAGUAGGCCGCAGAGAAUAGGCCCAAGCAACUGUUUAGCAAAAACACAGGUCUCUGCUAAAGCGUAAGCUGAUGUAUAGGGGCUGACGCCUGCCCGGUGCUGGAAGGUUAAGGGGAACACUUAGCGCAAGCGAAGGUGUGAACUUAAGCCCCAGUAAACGGCGGCCGUAACUAUAACGGUCCUAAGGUAGCGAAAUUCCUUGUCAGGUAAGUUCUGACCCGCACGAAUGGCGUAAUGACUUGGGCACUGUCUCAACUGUAAAUCCGGCGAAGUUGUAGUGCGAGUGAAGAUGCUCGCUACCCGCGAUUGGACGGAAAGACCCCGUAGAGCUUUACUGUAGCUUAGCAUUGAGUUUUGGUAUUGUCUGUACAGGAUAGGUGGGAGACUAGGAAACCAGGGCGUCAGCCUUGGUGGAGUCAACCUUGGGAUACCACCCUGACAGUACUGAAAUUCUAACUGGCGGCCAUGAAUCUGGUCACAGGACAUUGUUAGGUGGGCAGUUUGACUGGGGCGGUCGCCUCCUAAAAAGUAACGGAGGCGCCCAAAGGUUCCCUCAGAACGGUCGGAAAUCGUUCGAAGAGUGCAAAGGCAGAAGGGAGCCUGACUGCGACACCCACAAGUGGAGCAGGGACGAAAGUCGGGCUUAGUGAUCCGGUGGUACCUCGUGGGAGGGCCAUCGCUCAACGGAUAAAAGCUACCUCGGGGAUAACAGGCUGAUCUCCCCCAAGAGUCCACAUCGACGGGGAGGUUUGGCACCUCGAUGUCGGCUCGUCGCAUCCUGGGGCUGAAGUAGGUCCCAAGGGUUGGGCUGUUCGCCCAUUAAAGCGGCACGCGAGCUGGGUUCAGAACGUCGUGAGACAGUUCGGUCCCUAUCCGUCGCGGGCGUAGGAAAUUUGAGAGGAGCUGUCCUUAGUACGAGAGGACCGGGAUGGACUGACCUCUGGUGUACCAGUUGUUCCGCCAGGAGCACAGCUGGGUAGCUAAGUCGGGAAUGGAUAAACGCUGAAAGCAUCUAAGCGUGAAGCCAACCUCAAGAUGAGAUUUCCCAUAGCGUAAGCUAGUAAGAUCCCUUGAAGAACACAAGGUUGAUAGGUCGGGGGUGUAAGCAUGGUAACAUGUUCAGCUGACCGAUACUAAUAGAUCGAGGGCUUGACCAA
rnacentral:rRNA from 1 species